rnacentral:misc_RNA from 1 species
AUUGAAAAGUCAUAACAUGGCCAUAACCUAUAACCUAGACUCCAAGACUAGACAAGACAGGAUCGGUAUCAUCGGUGAUGGAUUUAAAUCGAAUUGAAUAAUGAAAACGUAGUAAUUGUGUGCCCUACUCAAGAAAAAGAUGAGUACUACAAAACGACUUAAUUUUUUUGGAGAAAAAAUUUGUGCAUAGUGCCAUUUAUACAUGUAAAGUUCGGUGGGCUUUGGAUAACAUGUUAUCGUUGUAUCUUAAAUUGCUAAGAGCGAACGCCGAAACAUUCAACAGAGGUUAACAUUUUUUACCAAGGAUAAGUCUGCUAUCCUGAAAACCCAAACAUUAUAUUACUCCAGUAUUAUACUUAGUAUUGAUUUAUUACUCCUACUAUUAUCACAUUCCAUGUUUAUAAACCCACUCUAUGGUGAAUAACGUAUAAAUGUAUUUUUAAAAUACCUACAUACAAUGCCAAGUUCACUGCUUUUUGGCAUCAAUAAUGAAGGUAGAGUAUAUACACUCUCAACUUCUGGUUCUAUGUGGAGAGAAUUACCUUAUAAUGGACAGGAAUUUAAGAAAUUAUCUGGGGUACCACACUUUUUAUGGGGAUUAGGUGGAGAUCAUCAGAUUUACGUUUACGUGCAUGGCCUUGAUAUACCAAUCAGAAUAAGAGAGGAAUCAUAUGAAAAUGAGAGAUGGUUGCCUAUAGAAGGCUUUACAUCUAGACUUUUACCAACUGAUAGGUUUCAUUUUUCAAAUGCCGAUGGAACUGCAGAUCGGUCUAUAGAUAGGAUCCGACUCCCUUCAAUGGCUUGGCAGUGGGAAGGUGACUGGCAAUUGGAGUUAACAUUGGAUGGACAGCCAUUGGACCACAAUGGGUGGACCUAUGCUGUUGAUUUUCCUUCAUGUUAUUAUUCGAAAAAACAGUGGAAAAGCUGUGUUAGAAGACGACUUUGGGUUAGGACUGCCAAAUAUUGUGCAAUGAAUACUUGGUGUGCUAUCGCUCCAUUACACAAAGAUGCUACGUCGGAACCUUUUAUUGAUAUAUCAAUUGGAGGGCAAAAUGUUAUUGGUGCUGACCCGAGUACAAUGUUAGUAUGGGCUGUUACUUCCCAUAAUAGAGUAAUGUUUAGAUCAGAAGUAAGUACAAAAUUGCCUGAAGGUACCCGAUGGCACCACAUCCAAGUGCCUACAGGAUGUGAAGUAGGAAGUAUAAGUGUUGGCCCUUCAGGUUUAGUUUGGUCAAGCCUUUUAGAUGGCAGAGCUUUAGUUCGAGUAGGAGUUUCUAGAGAGACUUUACAAGGAGAUAUGUGGGUUGAAGUUAGGAGCCCCGGAGACAAUUUAAGAAUCACGCAAUUAUCAGUGGGAAAUACUAGCGUUUGGGCAGUCACACAAGAUAAUAAAAUAUGGUUUAGGAAGAGAAUGAAACGAGAAGAAUCGAGUUUAAGCGAAGAGGAAUUGGCUGUGGGUUCCGGUUGGAUCGAAAUGGUUGGAAAAAUGUGUCAUAUCUCAGCCACUUCAAAUGAUCAAGUAUUUGCAGUUGGCGCACACGAUCGCGUUAUUUAUUACAGGAUGGGAGUGUGUCAAGAAGAUUUGACCGGCAAAAGAUGGAGGGCCAUUCGAGCACCGCUUCAAGUUAGUCGAGCUAGUAGUAACGCUAGUUUAGGACGUGACCGAUUCCAUCGAAGCUUAAAUCAAAUUACGAGUCGACCAAGUAGCAUGAUCGAGCAGCCUAAUUUUUCUGAAUUUGAAGAACAAUCCCAUUCUGCACCUUUGGCUCCCACUUCUCUUCCUACUGGCGAUUAUAAAUUUGAAACUCGUCUUAGAAAUCCUAAAGCUUGGAGUCCGGUACAUUCUGUUGGCUCUAUCGUAGGUACUGAAGUUCACCCAGAUGCUGACGAAAGCAUAUGGAACGAAAAUAGCAGAGAUUCUUGUAUUUUUGCAGAGGACGAAGAAUUGGAAUGGGCUGAGUACGAUACGCCGUGGUCUUGGGUGGAGGCGGGAACUUGUUUAAUGGAUAUAUCUCAAUUUCCAAACUGGUUUUCAGAGUCUAAUGAUAGUGCUAUACAAGAAGAAUUUGGCCAAUCGUGGAGAACUAAUAUUUUGAACGAUUUAAAGACACGAUUGCCGGACCAGGAUAUUUACUCUUUAUAUGAAAGUGCAAUUGAAACUACAUCCUGGAUUCAUGUAGGAGAAGCAAGAGUUAAUUUGAACUCCCAAAAUUUUGUCGAUUGUAUAUUGCAGUUGGAAUGGUUACAAAUAACAGGGACAUUAACAAUUUUAAAUUCAGAUGGAGCCACAACAAUGCAUUCGUUCCCGCUUAGUGAUAUAACUUGUGUUCAACUCACUAGUGAUCCUGGAAAUUCCAGAUUAUCUCUUUUUACACCUAGAAAUAAUCCCGCUGUCGUAGUCCUACAAUUUGUUAGUGAUGUUAUAUUAGAAGAGUGGCAAUCACACUUUGCAAUUACGUGUGGAAAGCUUCGUGACGCUCAAGGGAGGCCUAGCGAUGAAAGUAUUUGGGCGGUGACAAACUUGGGCGACAUUUUUGUAUGGGACCCAACACAACUUGAAAGAAACCAACUUAGAGAGGAUGAUUUCUACAUUCAGAAAUUUGACUUAAGAGGAAAAGAAUGUCCUAUAAAGGUUGCUUUACAUGUCGGAUGUAUUCCUGGGACAGUUUUAACUUUAACAGGGUGUAUAGGCGAUGAGGCAGAACGCCUAGGUAUUAAUCUUGAAGCUCCAUAUACUUAUAAAAAAAAUCAUAAAGCUUUUACGGAAUUAGAAAAUAUGUGCCUGCACAUAAAUCCUAGGUUUUCUGAAAAUUGUGUGGUAAGAAAUUCAAUGGUAGAUGGGAAAUGGGGUAAAGAAGAACGUGAUGGAAAAAUGCCUUUCAGUAGGAGUCAAGAAUUUAAUAUAAGAAUAGAAAGCACUGAAGAUGCAUUUAUUAUUUUUGUUAACACUGAAAAAUAUACAACUUUUAGACAUCGACUGCCACCUCAUUCGGCCUGUUUUCUUCAUUUGUGGGGCAAAAUGCAGCCAUUUAAAUUAAUUAUAAGAAGUCCAGUUCUUAUAGUUGAUCCAUUAGAGGUUUAUUGGAGGCAACUUGGAGGCCACUUACGUCGGGUAGAAUCAUGUAAUGCCGGUGUUAUAUGGGGGAUAGGUUACGAUCACACUGCUUGGGUAUAUACUGAAGGAUGGGGUGGUUCUUUCUAUGGAACAUUGGAUAGCCAUAACGUGUAUCCAAUGACCGAUUGUCAAGACUAUAGAGUUUAUGAAAAUCAAAGGUGGAAUCCUGUAACAGGUUACACUUCAUCUUGUUUGCCCACAGAUAGGCAUAUGUGGAGUGAUGCAUCUGGACGCCAAAAGCGUAUAAAAGAACAAGUAAAAUUGCCGACAGUUCAUUGGCAAUGGAUAUCAGAUUGGAUGGUCGAUUUUCAUGUACCAGGUGGUGUAGAUAAGGAGGGGUGGCAGUAUGCUGUUGAUUUUCCAGCUAGUUAUCAUUCCAACAAACAGUUUACAGAUUUGGUGCGAAGGAGAAGAUGGUACAGACGAUGUGUGAUUGCUUCAGUAGGACCUUGGCAGGAACUCGGGCAUACAAAAUUGUUAGAUGUGUCUUUGGAACCUGUAAAUGACAAUUCAAAUUCAGAAGUAUCCGUUUGGGCUUUAGCGUCAAGUGGCCAGGUGAUGUUUAGAGUGGGUACCUCUAGGUCUAACCCAACGGGUCACAGCUGGCAACACAUCACAACGGACCAACCAUUUAGCAGUAUUAGUUGUGGACCUUUUAAUCAAGUAUGGGCUGUGGGAAAAAAAGGAUGUGCUUAUCUUAGAGUUGGAAUUAAAGAGGAUAAAUUGGAGGGAGAAAGGUUCGUAGAGGUGCAAUAUGGUACUAAGACUCUCCGCGCAGAAACCUAUUCUUCUCUGGAACUGUCCCUUCUCCAUUGAAAUUUACGCCAACUGGAUAAAAAACUAAAUCCCUUAGCGCCUGAUGGAUAAUAAUAAUCAAAGGCCAAGUAUAAUUAGUGAAAAAAAGUUAAAGGUGGGUAUGUGUAGAACCGCCUGUAGGUGCUCAACUGAAACAAGUUUCGGUGAAUUCAGCAGGCAUUUGGGCCAUAGAUGCUUUGGGAAGAUUGAAUGUUCGUAAAGAAGUGUCUGAAUCUUUUCCAGAAGGCACUCAUUGGCAAAGCAUUUAUUCAUCAGAUCUCCCUGUUUUAA